GCAAACCUGACCCAGUUUCAUAAAUACAUAGGACACCUAAUCAAUCACAUGGCACAAAAUGAAUAACUUAUGACACGUUAUGGUUCAUUAUUAUAUAGGAAAAGGCUCAUUUCUAUCUCACUUGUCAACAAAUCAUAUUUCACUCAAAUGCUGACACCAAGUACUAGUAGUUACAUCAUUCUUUCCGGUUUAAAGAGCAUGUGGCCUGAUCUGCUAUUGUGUCACCAGAGUGGAGCAAUUCCCUGAUACCACAAGAGAGAGAGAGAGAGAGAGAGAGAGAGAUGCACUUGAUUGGAAAAGAACACUUAAAACCAAUAAAUCCCAAGCUUUAGCCAUCGGCUCCCCUAACCCUAUCAACACAUAGGGUACCUAUUUCAUGUCCAACCAUAUAUAAGAUUACUAUAAGCUUACAAAGUUACAAUUGCCUCUCCGCCCUAUAGACAGACAUGAAAAGCAGUACCAGAAAAAUAGAAGAGCUUCCGAAUGUCGGCUUUUAAGACCUUACCAAAAAGCAGUACCAUCUGCCAUAUAAUUUUGAUGCUUUAUGAUUAUAUUGGGAACAUAAUUUACACCUUAUUAACCUAACGUUAUUUGCACCUAAGGUAAGUUCUCAGACAAAUUUAAU